rnacentral:rRNA from 1 species
AGACGGGGCCCGCACAAGCGGUGGAGCAUGUGGUUUAAUUCGAUGAUACGCGAAAACCUUACCUGGGCUUGAACUGUGCAUGACAAGGUGUAAGAGAUACACCCUCCGACAAGGCAUGUACAGAGGUGCUGCAUGGUUGUCGUCAGCUCGUGUCGUGAGAUGUUGGGUUAAGUCCCGCAACGAGCGCAACCCUCGCUGUGUGUUACAAGUGUCACACAGGACCGCCGGUCUUAAGCCGGAGGAAGGUGGGGAUGACGUCAAGUCAGCAUGGCCUUUAUGUCCAGGGCUACACACACGCUACAAUGGUCAGCACAAUAGGUAGCCAAGCCGCGAGGUGGAGCCAAUCCUCAAAGCUGGCCUCAGUUCAGAUCGCAGGCUGCAACCCGCCUGCGUGAAGCCGGAGUUGCUAGUAACCGCAGGUCAGCUAUACUGCGGUGAAUACGUUCCCGGGGCUU